rnacentral:lncRNA from 1 species
AGCUCAGAUUGGACUCUCUCUCUCUCUAGAAAGAAACGUUCAGCAACCUCAGCUUCAUCCUCAGCUUUGGUCUCCCACGUUCAAUCUCCGUAUGUAAUUUUUUGGGCCUGGCGUUGGGCUUCCAGUCGUUUUUGUAGGUUUAGCCUUGACUGGAUUAGGAUUAGUUCAUAGGUACUAUCGGUUGCCUUUUGGGCUUUUGACCCGGCCUUUGCUGGGCAACGUUUUAUUUACCAGUUUCGAACACAUAAAUGCAGAGGGAGGUUGACAAAAAAUUAUAUAUAUACAGAGGGAGGAUAAACGGUACGACUCGAGCAAAAUAUUAAUCAAGGAGAGGACAUUACGUAUGAUUUGACUUUGAAUAGUUUUAUUGGUGAAAUAAUCAUUAACGAUAAAAUUCAAGAAAUACGAUAGGAAAGAGCCACAUGAAACAUAAUAGGACCUACGUGAAGCAGUCGAUAACAUGUUAUAUGUCAGCUUUUUAUCUGACUUCAAUAUUUAACAUAUUUUAAGAUUCUCGAUUUCUGUUUAUAAAGUUUAAGCCACCAGCAGCUCAAAAAAAAAUGUUUAAGCCACCAACUUAAAUUUUAAAAGUUACUUAAGAAAAUAAGAAAGAUAAUUGUUUCAGAUACUCAUUUUAAAAAAUUUUGUCACAAAAUAGCACUCAACAAAUAAAAUGACCAAAAUAACUCUUUUUAUUUUGAAAAUUUUAAUAUUUAUUUUUAAUUUUAAAAAUUAUAACUCAUCCUCAAAAC